AAUAAUAGUUAUAGUCUUUAAACUUAAAAAAAUUGGCGGUAUUUAAAACUAAUUAGGGGAAUUUGUUUAUUAAAUGAUAAUCCGCAAGAAACCUUACUUUAAUUUAUUUAAUUUAUUUAUUGCCGUUAUCAGAAUAUUUUUUAAGAAAUUAAAUUUUCUAAAAUUUUUAUAAAAAAUUAUUUCAGGUCAUUAUGUAGUUUAUAUUAAAGCUUAGAUGAAUUACAAUAAAUUAUAUUUAUUUAUGGAUAUUAAAUUGAAAUAUUUAAUGAAAGUGAACUUAAUAGUAAAAUUUAAAUAUUAUAUUAUUUUGAAUUAAGAAUUAAAU
rnacentral:rRNA from 1 species